UUAUCCAUGUGCUAACAUAACUGCACAAGGGUUUUCUAACCAUCAAUGAGCCUUUCAACACCAUUAGCUAACACAAUGUAGCAUUAGAACACAGGAGUGAUGGUUGCUGGAAAUGUUCCUCUGUACCCCUAUGGAGACAUUCCAUUAAAAAUCAGCCGUUUACAACCAGAAUAGUCAUUUACCACAUUAACUAUGUCUACACUGGAUUUAUCAUUCACUUUAUGUUA